UACGUAGGGUGCGAGCGUUAAUCGGAAUUACUGGGCGUAAAGCGUGCGCAGGCGGUUCGUUAUGUCCGAUGUGAAAGCCCUGAGCUUAACUUGGGAAUGGCAUUGGAAACUGGCGGGCUGGAGUGCGGCAGAGGGGGGUGGAAUUCCACGUGUAGCAGUGAAAUGCGUAGAGAUGUGGAGGAACACCGAUGGCGAAGGCAGCCCCCUGGGCCGACACUGACGCUCAGGCACGAAAGCGUGGGGAGCAAACAGG
rnacentral:rRNA from 1 species